UACGGAGGAUGCAAGCGUUAUCCGGAAUCAUUGGGCGUAAAGCGUGCGCAGGCGGUUAUAUAAGACAGAUGUGAAAUCCCCGGGCUCAACCUGGGACCUGCAUUUGUGACUGUAUAGCUUGAGUACGGUAGAGGGGGAUGGAAUUCCGCGUGUAGCAGUGAAAUGCGUAGAUAUGCGGAGGAACACCGAUGGCGAAGGCAAUCCCCUGGACCUGUACUGACGCUCAUGCACGAAAGCGUGGGGAGCAAACAGG
rnacentral:rRNA from 1 species